UACGUAGGGUGCUAGCGUUGUCCGGAAUUAUUGGGCGUAAAGAGCUCGUAGGCGGUCUGUCGCGUCGGAUGUGAAAACCCAGGGCUCAACCCUGGGCCUGCAUUCGAUACGGGCAGACUAGAGUUCGGUAGGGGAGACUGGAAUUCCUGGUGUAGCGGUGAAAUGCGCAGAUAUCAGGAGGAACACCGGUGGCGAAGGCGGGUCUCUGGGCCGAAACUGACGCUGAGGAGCGAAAGCGUGGGGAGCAAACAGG
rnacentral:rRNA from 1 species